UGGGGAAUUGUUCGCAAUGGGCGCAAGCCUGACGACGCAACGCCGCGUGGAGGAUGAAGAUUUUCGGAUCGUAAACUCCUGUCGAAUGGGACGAAAAGGUUGCGGGUUAACAGCCCGCGAUCCUGACGGUACCGUUAAAGGAAACCCCGGCUAACUCCGUGCCAGCAGCCGCGGUAAUACGGGGGGGGUAAGCGUUGUUCGGAAUUACUGGGCGUAAAGGGCUCGUAGGCGGCCAACUAAGUCAGACGUGAAAUCCCUCAGCUUAACUGGGGAACUGCGUCUGAUACUGGAUGGCUUGGAUUCGGGAGAGGAAUGCGGAAUUCCAGGUGUAGCGGUGAAAUGCGUAGAUAUCUGGAGGAACACCGGUGGCGAAGGCGGCAUUCUGGACCGACAUUGACGCUGAGGAGCGAAAGCCAGGGGAGCAAACGGGAUUAGAUACCCCCGUAGUCC
rnacentral:rRNA from 1 species